rnacentral:rRNA from 1 species
AAACGUAGGAGGCGAGCGUUAUCCGGAUUUACUGGGCGUAAAGCGCGUGCAGGCGGCAACGCAAGUUGGAUGUGAAAUCUCCCGGCUUAACUGGGAGGGGUCGUCCAAUACUGCGUGGCUUGAGGGCAGGAGAGGGAAGCGGAAUUCCCGGUGUAGCGGUAAUAUGCGCAGAUAUCGGGAGGAACACCAGUGGCGAAGGCGGCUUCCUGGCCUGCUCCUGACGCUCAGACGCGAAAGCUAGGGUAGCGAACGGGAUUAGAUACCCCGGUAGUCCUAGCUGUAAACGAUGGAUACUGGGUGUAGGCGGUAUUGACCCCGCCUGUGCCGAAGCCAACGCGUUAAGUAUCCCGCCUGGGGACUACGACCGCAAGGUUAAA